GCUGGGCAUGGUGGCACAUGGCCUGUAAUCCCAGCAACUUGGGAGGCUAAGGCAGGAGGAUCACAAGUUCAAGGCCAGCCAAGCAACUUAGUGAGACCCUGUCUCAA
rnacentral:sRNA from 1 species